UGUUUUGCCUUUGAUGCUGAUGCAGAAAGGUGAAGUACCGGCGGUUCAGAAUUCUGGUGAUGAUCUUUGACACUCAAGCCAGAUAGAUCCUGUCCCAUCAACUGCCUGUCAUAAUGAAAGAAAUAUUUGUUGGUAAUCGAGGGCGCUGAAGAUUAUACAGUAGGCAAGGUUGUAAACUAAUCAGAUUAAGCCAUUGGCUGUGAUCAAUUUUAAUCAUGAUAAUUAUAAAGAAGAAUAGUACCGGUGGUGUUCUUGUAAGCUCUGAAGCUGCUGUCUCAAGCUCGCUGCCUCCCUCUGCCAGAACUAAUGAGUAAAGAGAACACCAUUUAGUCUGAAAUAUUAGCCUAUUACUAUGGUAGAUAUAAUAAUAAUUGAAUAGUGAAACAUUAAUUGACCGUUAAUAUUAUCAGAAGUAUCAAAUACUUUAAGUAAUGCUUUAUCGGCAGCUACCAAAAAUUAGAGUUUUACUGAACAUUCCAGAAUUUGUAAAACAAAUUUAGACAAGUUCCUAUGAAAUAUAGAUUCAAGAGCUUAUAUCUUAAUAUCUAUACAAAUUCUUCCCUGUUUCCUUAUUGUGUGAACUUACUCUUCUCAACCACUGUUUCAGUCUUUCUGAUUGCAAGCCUUCUGUACAGUGAAGCUUGUUUAGCAGGAUCAUCUUCUCCUAUUCAGCAGAUCAUUUUCUGUAUUAAGCUGAAAUAUCUGUUGUUUAAGUAAAUUUUUAGGUAUUAUUAUUAUUUUAACAUUCUAAAAGGAUUUCCUUUGAUCUAACUUGCUGAUAAUUGGUGUCAAAAUAGCGUUUUCUUUCCUCCUCGUAAAUUAGUGGCAUUUCAUGUUCAAAAAAUUGCAGUUGACUGAAAUUAAAAAGUAGAUAUUAUGAUCAUGCACGAGAAGGUAUAUUCAAGCAACUUGAUGAAAACAACAUCAGCUGCUCAGGCGAGAAAUAAGGAAAAAAAUUUAUCUGAUGUUCUGUUGGAAAAAUCUAUCCUUUGUAUUUUGUCAUAUAGUGGAAGUACCCUAGUAAGGUCAAAUUGAGGUUUCAAUUAAGUAGAAAUAAGGGGGAAAUUUAAGCCCAAAUAGAGUUAAUAUGUGAAUCGUGAUUAAUAUAUAUCAAGAUAAAAUUGGAUCCAAGCUCUAUUAGGGUAUUUCUUAUAUUUAUGUUUAACUAUUUUCAGAUUUGGCCUGUCAACUUCUCCUCAUUUGUGUCUGAGUCGAUAUUUUCAUCCAGUAAGUCAGCAAGUAAGAAAUUAAGUCGAACUUUUCUGCAACAAAAAUGUGAAUAGAAAACAAACACAGACUCUUGCAUGACUCCACCUGUUGCUAGUUUUUUGGAUUGCGAGUUUGAGGUUGUACAGUGUUGUAAAAAGUGGAAUAAAGUGCUCAAAAAAGCAGAAACACCUUGCCACUUUGCUAAGACCGUAAGCGGGCUCGACUGCAUUUGUCUUGCAACUGUGAGCCAAAAGUUCUUUCAAGAUGAAAAUAGUAGGGC